rnacentral:siRNA from 1 species
UGAUGACCUUUUCAGAGAUGC